GGUGGCCCGGCCCCAACCCCAUGCGUCAAGGGAUCAAACCAUGGCGCGUGUGCACAUCGCCACCGUCGGCGCUGCCCAGUCACCGCGCCGACGGCGAAAUAUAUUCCGGGGUCCCACGUGGAAGCAUCCGGAGGAAUACACGGAUACACCUCCGCCUCGGUCCAUCGCAACUGCAAUCUUCUGCUCCGUCCUGUAGGCUGUAGCUGCAGCCUGCAGGGAGCGAGCCAUAAAGGAGACUACGUAGCGGCCGCGGAGCGCGGGGACGACGGAGGGAGACAGACGGGCGCGGCAGGGACCAGGGAGCCAGCAGGGCUAGGCGACGCUCCUUCCAGUUCUCCUAUCCAUGAUUUCAUUCUGAGACAUUCACAUGCUUCCAUGUGAUUGACCUUGUCCCUAAUGUUCUGAUCAAGAUUGCCAUGGUUGAAAGGCUAUAGUUUCUUAUGGUCCAUGUCCACGAUUCAAGAAUAAAAUAUUGUUUGGCCCAUCCAUUGUGAUAAUGGUCUGGUUGCAAGACCAGCUGGAAAUGCACAAGUUCCACUGGUACAGUAGAGCCCCUACUCCAUCAGAGUUCUGGAUACCACUUGCUGCUUGGUUCACUGUUGGCCUAGUCGGUCUUUGGACAUUUUUUCAUUUCUUUUCAGUGUGGCGGCGAAAGAUCAGUUUAAGCUGGAUGAAAAUAAUUGCCAGAUCGAAGAGGAAGAAUUUUGAAAGAAACCAUGAGGUUCCUACUGCUGAACAUGUUUGGAACACAGAAUCAUUGAUUCGUGCAAAAGGAAUGAUGUGCUGUGUAUGCUUGGAAUCUAUCUCACCUGCUCAGCCCCUUGGGCAGAUGAUGACAUCAGAAAAUAUGGUUCACCGCUGCAAUGUUUGCGGUGCAGCUGCGCACAUAAUAUGCUCUUCAAAUUCUCAGAAAGACUGCAAAUGCAUCUCAAUGUUUGGGUUCAAACAUGUGGUCCAUCAAUGGACUGUACUCUGGACAGACAUAGCUGACCAAUCCGAAGAAGGCCAGUACUGUAGUUACUGUGAGGAGUUAUGCAGUGAGUCUUUUCUGGGAGGUCCUCCCAUAUACUGCUGCAUGUGGUGCCAACGAUUGGUGCAUGCUGAUUGCCAGUCUGCCAUGGCUACUGAAACCGGUGAAAUUUGCGACCUUGGUCCCUUCAAGCGCCUUAUUCUGUCGCCACUUUUUGUCCGGGCCAUUAGCAAACCUGGUAGCAUCUUGAGUUCUAUAACUCAUGGAGCAAAUGAGUUUGCAACCACUGUGCGGGGGCGUUUAAACCGAACUAAAAAGGAGAAGCAUCAGAACAGAUUUUCAUCUGACAGCAACGAUGAUUCAUCAAGUGAUACCACGUUGAACUCAAACCAGAGGGCUGGAGAAUUAAAAACAAUUGGCGACAGUGCUCAAAGGAGUCCUGAGAAUGAGCAUGAUAGCAGUGAGAGUGAUGGUAGAGAACUCAUAUCGGAGUCCAGAAGGCUCGGUAAUGAUGAGACCGGUGAAGUUAAACUUAAGUACGCAUUGUCUGAAUUGCCUGCUGAUUCCAGACCCCUUCUAAUUUUUAUCAACAAGAAAAGUGGGGCUCAGCGCGGAGAUCUUCUCAAGCACAAGCUACAUUUUCUUUUGAAUCCGGUGCAGGUUUUUGAAUUAAGUUCUUCACAAGGGCCAGAAACAGGAUUAUUUUUGUUCAGAAAGCUGGCACUGGCAAUGAUCUUUCGAGAGUUUUAUCAUGGGGAGGUGGCCUAGGUGCUGUUGAGAAGCAAGGUGGCCUUUGCACAAUUUUACAUGACAUAGAGCAUGCAGCAGUCACUAUCCUUGAUAGAUGGAAGGUGACAGUAGAAGAUAAGAAAUCAAAGAAUGUGCUUCUAGUAAAGUACAUGAACAACUAUCUCGGUAUCGGUUGUGAUGCAAAAGUUGCCCUUGACAUUCAUAAUCUCCGUGAGGGAAAUCCUGAGAAAUUCUACAGUCAGAUUGCAGUAUCCUCCGAUACUUCCUCACGUAUAUUACAGUAUCACUUGUACUUUUUUUAUAGAUCGAAUGUUCGUGUAAUUAAUAUGUAUGUAGCAAUGAAACAAAUAUAGGAAGUAUCAGGCCUGCUAUAGAUAUUCAGAACACUGCCAAUCUACGAUGUACAGAGCAAUCUGUAAUGGUACGACUAGGACACAAAGGAGCAGGUCCAGAUCUGAAGGUAGGUAGGUACUGACCUCGCCGGAGCUUGAUCUUCUUCUUGUGGGUGAUGCCCUGCACGGCUGCACGGAGAUCCGGCCUUGGAGUCGUCCGGCGGUCUGCGUGGCCUUGGGUGAUGCCCUGCAUGGAGCUUGAUCUUCUUCCUGUUCGGGUCGGCGGUCUGCGUGGCCUUGGCGUCGUCCGGCGCGAAGAGCACGACGUCGAUGCCCUGCACGGAGAUCCUGCCGUCGGUGUAGAUGUCCGGGUCCAAGAGGUAGCGGAUCUUGUGCGGCAGAAACCAGAAUGAAACGUACCUUGUGCGGCAGAAACCAGAAGCAAACCGGAAUCAAACGACGGAGGCGCUCAGGGCGUUGGAGCGACGGAGGUGCUGGUGCAUAGCGAAGACGAGACGAGGCGGCGGAGAAUCGCCUGGCCUCCUAAGGCCAGGGUUGUUUCCGACGGGAAAAUGGAACGAAUAUCUGCACGAGAUUGGGCUGCCAAAUGACACACAUGAAUAAUCCGAGGACAAUUUUCUGGUGGGCUUUCUCCCAGGAGAAAAGGCCAGGAAACCCGCUGGAUUUUGGGCUGCCAAACCAGUCCUGAUAUGUCUUUUUUCCCCCCUCUAGCGCGUCUCAGUAAGACAUUAAGGACUAACGCGGAGGCUUUAAAGAGAAUCUUUAGUUAUUAAAUAUUAAGAUGACUCUUAUGUUUCUUUGUUGGGCUUCAUCAGUUCUUAAAUAAGGUGCUAUAUGCGAGGGAAGGGGCCAAGAGCAUCAUUGACAGGGCUUUUGUGGACUUACCAUGGCAAGUUCGGUUGGAAGUCGAUGGCACCGAGAUCGAGAUACCAGAGGACUCGGAAGGCGUGCUUGUCGCGAACAUCCCGAGCUACAUGGGAGGGGUUGACCUGUGGCAAAACGAGGGUGAGGAUCCCGAAGAUUUUGACCCGCAGUCGAUCCAUGACAAGAUGCUCGAAGUGGUCAGCAUUACAGGAGCAUGGCAUCUGGGAACACUCCAGGUUGGACUUUCUCGGGCGCGGAGGAUCGCGCAAGGCCAGUCGAUCAAGAUACAGAUGUUUGCCCCUUUCCCCGUUCAAGUCGACGGUGAGCCUUGGGUCCAGCAGCCCUGCACGCUCAAGAUAUCUCAUCACGGGCAGGCUUUUAUGUUGAGGAGAGCAGUUGAAGAGCCACUGGGUCAUGCCGCUGCUAUGAUCACCGACGUCCUUGAGCAUGCAGAGUCCAGCCAUGUAAUCACUGCUUCGCAGAAGAAAGCCCUCCUCCGAGAAAUGGCUCUACGGCUGUCAUGAAGCAAGCGCCGCUCAUUCGGACGUCGCAGAAGAACGGUUUCCUGCCUCUGCCUGCACAUCGGUGGUUAGUACGAGGAUCUGUGAUCUCAACAUGAGCUCGAUCAUGUUGUUAGCAGAAGAUACAGGCCCGGAGGGACGUGUCCACGUGCACAUAGAGUUUUUUUUUUUGGGGUCAUGUUCACGUUUUGGAAAUAGCGAGGCAAUGUUGUGUGCAGCUAUGUAUGGUGUGUAGACCUCGGGUAAGCCAGUUCCUUCCUUCUGUGCAAAACUAGUUACGCCUGCGGCCUGCCAUUCCGUGUUAGGUUGACUGGAUGGAUUUUUAGGGCUGCGUCGCUGCCACUUCGGUUGGUGCCCCAUAUGUAAACGAGAUGGGCUUGAAUGCUUGGUUGUAA